rnacentral:rRNA from 1 species
AAGUCGAGCGGAACGAGUCUAGCUUGCUAGGGAGCCGUCGAGCGGCGGACGGGUGAGUAAUGCAUAGGAAUCUACCCAGUCGUGGGGGAUAACCUGAGGAAACUCAGGCUAAUACCGCAUACGUCCUACGGGAGAAAGCGGGGGCUCUUCGGACCUCGCGCGAUUGGAUGAGCCUAUGUCGGAUUAGCUGGUUGGUGAGGUAACGGCUCACCAAGGCGACGAUCCGUAGCUGGUCUGAGAGGAUGAUCAGCCACACCGGGACUGAGACACGGCCCGGACUCCUACGGGAGGCAGCAGUGGGGAAUAUUGGACAAUGGGCGCAAGCCUGAUCCAGCCAUGCCGCGUGUGUGAAGAAGGCUUUCGGGUUGUAAAGCACUUUCAGCGAGGAAGAAAGCGUGCCGGCCAAUACCCGGUACGGACGACAUCACUCGCAGAAGAAGCACCGGCUAACUCCGUGCCAGCAGCCGCGGUAAUACGGAGGGUGCAAGCGUUAAUCGGAAUUACUGGGCGUAAAGCGCGCGUAGGCGGCGUGUCACGCCGGGUGUGAAAGCCCCGGGCUCAACCUGGGAACGGCAUCCGGAACGGGCAGGCUAGAGUGCAGGAGAGGAAGGUAGAAUUCCCGGUGUAGCGGUGAAAUGCGUAGAGAUCGGGAGGAAUACCAGUGGCGAAGGCGGCCUUCUGGACUGACACUGACGCUGAGGUGCGAAAGCGUGGGUAGCAAACAGGAUUAGAUACCCUGGUAGUCCACGCCGUAAACGAUGUCGACUAGCCGUUGGGUCCCUUGAGGACUUAGUGGCGCA